UACGGAGGGUGCAAACGUUGCUCGGAAUCAUUGGGCGUAAAGCGCACGUAGGCGGCCUGAUAAGUCGGGUGUGAAAGCCCUGGGCUCAACCCAGGAAGUGCACUCGAAACUGUCAGGCUUGAAUAUGGAAGAGGGUCGCGGAAUUCCCGGUGUAGAGGUGAAAUUCGUAGAUAUCGGGAGGAACACCAGUGGCGAAGGCGGCGACCUGGGCCAAUAUUGACGCUGAGGUGUGAAAGCGUGGGGAGCAAACAGG
rnacentral:rRNA from 1 species